GACCCUUGAGUUUUAUCUGGGUGCCUGCCUGCCCUGUGAAAGACUACAUAUCCCAGUCUCCCUUGCAGCUAACUGUGGCCACAUGACUAUCUUCUGGCCAAUGGGAUCUGACUAUAAGUGAUUCAUGAGACUUGCUGGUAUGACCUCCUAAAGAAGCAUUAGCCUUCCACUUCCUGUUUCCUGCUUUCCCAGGUUAGCAGAGCCUUGGGGAAUUCCAGAGUGAAUCUGCAGCAAAGUUUUGCAAUGAUCUCACUGAGCAGUGGAUCCUGGGAUUUUUACUGGGCGGGGACAGAGAAGAUCUCAUGGACUCUGAGGCACAGGAAGAAGGCGGAGCCACAGAUAGGGGAGCCGGGGUUUCCAGAGCAGCAGAGCUGCCCACCAUCUGAGAAAGCAGCACUUAUUCAGUGUGUCGAUCCUCGUGUGGGGGAUGCUUGUUCCCACCAUCUGGGUCCUUACCCCACUGCACAACUCUAUUUUACUUUUAUUUUUUAUU